ensembl:lincRNA
UUCCCAGGAAGACCCCAAACUGGAGGACAGCAUGGGAGGAGGAGCAGAAGACGUGCUGACCACGUAGUAUCGGCUCUUCUUUAAUAGCAGAGGAAGGGGAGCCUCUUGAGGUGAACACUACCAUUUUCAGCUGUGGCAAGGAACAGGAAGAGCAAUUGAUGGCUGCCUCCAUAGCUGACUCACCAGUCAACAUUCAGAAAUUGUCAGACAAGCAAUUUCAUCAUGCCAUUGUCCGAUACUUUCUUCACACAGCACAGCUCCUGAGCAAGAGAGACGCGAGAGAAUGUCGCCUCGUGGCAGGCGCCAUACUAGUUCCGGUGCACACCGGAAGUGACAUCAGAGUGCGCACCGCCGGCCGGAAGCUUACUGUCUGCGGAGUCUGUGGGGAAUGGGACAAAGAGCAGACACGUCAACAAAUGACAGGACCCAAGGUCUUCACAGAAUGCCGUGGGGCACAUGGAGGUUCAGAGCGGCAUUAUUCGUGACAGCCAAAAAGCGGAAACAACCCAUAUGUCCAUCAACUGGUGAGUGGAACAAAAUGUGGCCUAUCCACAUGAUGGAAAAUACUUGGCGACACGGAGGAGCGCAGUACUAACACGCGGUACGAGAUGCAUGCACCUUAAGAAUAUUAUGCUAAGUGACAGAAGCUGUUCACGAAGACUGUCUCCUGCAUGAUGCCAUUUAUAUGAAAUGUCCACAUAGGCAAAUCUGUAAACACAGAAAGUAGGUGGGUGGUUGCUUAGGGCUGGGAGAUGGGGUGCAGAAGGGGGAAUGUGGGGGCGACAGCUAAGGGGAACAGGGUUUCUUUUUGGAGUAAUGAAAAUGUUCUUAAAUGGAUGUGGUGAUGGAUGCACAACUCUGUGAAUAUUCUAAAAGCCACUGAGUCAUGCACUUUAAAUGGGUGAAUUGUACGGUAUAGGAAUGACACCUCAAUCAAGCUGUUCACAAAAUGUCACGGGAGCAAAGAAAACAGAUGAAUCAUUGCCAAUGUUAUGAGGAUGGAAAUGAGCGUUCACGGAACACGACAUCCUCGGGGAAGCCUUCAGGUGGUAACUACAUGGGACAACACACUCAAGGAAUUAAAGAAGUCCCAGUGAGUGUCGACUUUAGGAACACAGCACUGAAGCAGACUGGUGCAGGAGUUUGGGAGCUGGAAGUGCCAGGGGGAGGCCCCUCUGUCACCUCGCUGUUGGGCAGAAUAAGAUGGCAGGACAACAGAACAGGCAAAGCAGACACAGAUGUAGGACCAAGUUUAGGGUUAAGAAAUAAAGCAGUAUCUUUGGGCUGUGCAACUCUCUGUCUUUCAUUUGAGAGAAAGUAUUUAAUAUACUUUACUUUUCCCUUCUUCACAGAUUUUGAUAUCAGAUCAUUAUUACAUUGUUACUUUUCCUUUCAGUUUUAAAACUACAUUUAAAACAGUUUAGACUUAAAUAUUUUGACCAAUUUCAGUGUUUAUUGCUGUCUCAUUUGUAAGAUUUUAAUUUUGACUAGAGUGUAUAAUUAGAUAAUUUCUUUCAAGAAGUACACAUGAAAAGUAUAUUUUCUGAGUUCUUGUUAUAUUAGAAUGUUAUUGUGUUGCCUUUAUAUAUAAAUGACUAUUUUCUUUGUAUAACAUUUUUAAAGGUUUAAACUUAUAUAAACUGGUAAAUCUUUAGCCCAUAAAUAUUUUCUUCUAUUUUUUUUUCUUUUUUUUUAUUUAUUUAAUAUUUUCUUCUAUGAUAUCUUCAGAUUUUCCUUCUGAUCUAUUUUUUCUCUUCUUUAGUUGUCCUUUUUAUUAUAUCUUUGUUCUCCACUCACUAUCUUCCAUGAUCAUUUUGUUUUCUUUCUUCACCUUAAUCUCUUUGUCCUUUUUGCUAACCUUGUCGGGGGAUGGGGUGGAGGUGGAUUAGUAUUCUUAAACUUACUGUCUACAUCCUGUACUAUCAUUUAUUGUACAUGUAUCAUUUAUUGUACAAUGUUGAUUUUAAUUCUACUACAUUUUAAGUUUCCUUGAAACCUUUUGUGUCAUUAAUCUCCUUUUCUAUCUCUUUCUGUUGCUUGUUCAUCUUAAUCUUUGUUUAUGACUCUCUGAUCAUUAUUUUUAAAAGUCUAUUAUUUUUUGUCCUUUUAUGAGGACCCCAAACCAGGUUUCAAAAUUAUUCCUUUGGAUUUUGGAGUAGCUUAUCUUCAAAAGCAGGCUCUUCCUGGGUUUGCUAUUGUUUGUAAGGUGUGCCUUUCUCAGCUAAAUUCCCUCUUACCUUGUAAUAAAUAAUACUGAAAUUACAGCCUUGUAGAUAACUGUAUAUUUCAGAAAAAUGUAAUAUUUCACUCUUAAUGAAGAGAAAAAUAUUGUUCCUUUUAGUGUGCAUUCUUUUUAGCUCUGCUGUUAAUAUCAAUAAAAUAAUCCUUUUCUCCAGAAAUAACUUUGCGUUUAAUGGCCUAUUUCCUAUCCUGGAGAGUGACUUUCUGAAAAUAGUGUUAUUGUGUUUUGUUACAGAACCUUGAUUUUUAAAAGAAUAUUAUUUCUUAAAAUAUUUUUAGAUUUAUAGAAAAUUUGCAAAAUUAAUACAGAGAGCUGUCACAUACUAUUCACCCAGUUUCCUCUAUUAUUAACACCUCAAUUAGCAUGGUACUUUUGUCACAACUAGUGACCAAUAUCGAUACAUUAUUAUUAACUCAAAGCCUGUAGUUUAUUUAGGUUACCUCUGUUUUAACCUAAUGUCCUUUCUGUAUUCCAGGAUUCCAUCCAGGUUACCACGUUAUAGUUAGUUGUCAUGUCUCCUUGGAGUCCUCUUGGCUGUGACAGUUUCUCAGACUUUUGUUGUCCUCGGCAGUUCUGAGGGUACUGGUGGGCUAUUUCGUAGAACGUGACCUCACUUGGGAUGUGUCUGAUGUUUUCCUCGUGAUUAGACCGGGGUUGUGGGUUUUUGAAGAUCACCAUUGUUGUCACUCAUAUCAAGGGGACAUGAGUGUCACUGUUGAUGUUGGUCUCGAUCACCUGGCUGAGACAGUGUUCGUCAGGUUUCUCCAAGGUAAAGUUACUCACUGCCCACCCCACCCCCCUUUCCAUAUUGUACUCUUUGGAAGGAAGUCACCAUGUGCAGCCCACGUGUGAGGGGUGAGGAGUUAUGCUCCAUCUCCUUGAGGUUGGAGUAUCUACAUAAAUUUAUUUGAAAAACUGUCUCUUCUCACCCAUUUAUUUAUUUAUGACUUAUACUCCUAUCGACUCAUGUGUAUUUAUAUUUAUACUUUGAAUAUAAUCCCAUACUACAUCAUUUACUUUGUUACUCCAAUUGCUCCAGCUCUGGCCAUCUGGGAGCUCUUGCAGUUGGCUCCUUUGGUACACGUCCUCCAUUGCUGUGGGUUUAUUUAUUUAUUGUUGAGCAUGUCUUUAUUUUCUGGCACGAUAAGAUGUUCUGGGCUUAUCUUGUGUAUUUCCCACCCUAGUUUUAGCAUCAGCCAUUUGUCUAAAGAGCCCUGGUUCCUUUUAUUGGAGAAAGGUAUUAGAAACCAAGAUCUGGGCAGGGGGUGUGCUCAGUGCUACUGGGGUGUUGUUACUUCUAGACCCUCUGAGUUGACAGAGCAAGGAAAGGUGUGUAUACUCACCUGCGUAUAUACACAUACCUGUAAGUAUAUCCGUACGUAACUAUCUGUGUCUAUGUGAAGAGCAAUGUGUUCACACUGAUAUCGCCAACUCCAAUCCACGCCCACAUGGAUCAUUCUAGUCUCCUCCCAUUGCUGCUCUGUAGACUCCCAUUCCAGAAUUGUGCCUUUAAAAAACAUUUCCUUGAAAAAAAAAAGUAUAUAAAUGUGUCUAUGUUCAAGCGUGUGUGUGUGUAUUACAGGUUCAUUGAAGAAUGUUUGCAAAAUUCAACAAUGUCUAUGGAAGAAAAUCCAAAUCUCUUUCUAGAUUCAAUCAUUGUUAAUAUUUUCACACACACACAAACACGCCUACAAUUUUAUAAACAAAACUGUGAUUAUACUAGACAUAUAGUCUUUAAUCUGUUUUUUCUACUCA